rnacentral:rRNA from 1 species
GAAAUGCUCGGCGCUUUGGGAUGGUCUCGCGAUCUAUCAGCUUGUUGGUGAGGUAAACGGCUUCACCCAAGGCAUCGACGGAUAGCUGGUCUGAGAGGAUGUCCAGCCGCAUUGGAACUGAGACACGGUCCAAACUCCUACGGGAGGCAGCAGUAGGGAAUCUUGCACAAUGAGGGAAACCUUGAUGCAGCGACGCCGCGUGCGGGACGAAGGCCCUAGGGUUGUAAACCGCUUUCAGUAGGGACGAAAGUGACGGUACCUACAGAAGAAGCCCCGGCCAACUAUGUG